rnacentral:tRNA from 1 species
CAUAGCACAGUGGCAGUGUGCUCGGCUCGGAACCGAGAGGUCGCGGGUUCGAAUCCGGCUG